ACUGCCAAAGGGGGCUGUCCUCAGGGGGCAGCAGGCGCUUCUCUCGCCGGGGCCGCCAUGGAGAGAACCGUCUCCCUGCCGGGCAGAGGGGGUGCUGGGUCAGGGCUUGGGGCUCCUGGGCGCCAGAGGAUAGUAACCGGUACGAAGUGAUAGAAAUGAAAGGGGCCCCGAGAGACACAGAGAGAAUGAGGAGAGGCCACCAAGGACAUCAAGCUGAAGGAGUGAAUGCACAAAACCAGAGCGCCAGUGUCUCAGCUCGCAAUGAAGGGAGCAGAGUGUCGCCUGUGUAUCUGUUACAGGGCCUUUCCUAGAAGGCCAGGUGGCUGAAGACAAAGUCAGGGGCCCAGCCAGGCCUGGCUGAAGGAUCCAGGUGGCAUCUGGGGAUACCGCCCCACCAGGGCUCCACGUUCUCUUCUGAGCUCUCCAGCUAUUGCCAGAUUUAGUUCCAUCUCAGGAAGCUGCGCCAGCCGUCUGCAAGGCCCGCAAAGACUCCUGAAUACUUCUGGUGCUUCGGCUCACCCCGCCUUCCUUGUCGCUGUUAAGGAUUCCAGGGACCCACCCAGCUAAUCCAGGAUACUCUUCCCAUGCGAAGCUGUUUAAUGCAGGUCUGGGCAUUCAGGUGUCUCUGGGAGUCCCCAGGGGAUGACAGGUGUGUUUCGUGGUAUCACCUGUUCCUGUCUUCUUGAUGGGAUGGCCAGGGUGCCAUUAUCACAGCCACUCCUGGGCAUCAUCGCUUCUGCCCGACACCUCAGCUGACCCUCGGGAGCCAUCAGAUGGUCAAGACUUCAUGGGGUCCUUUAGAGAAAUGGCAAAGAAAGUCCUCCUGCAACCCUUCUGUCUCCAUCCUGGGACAUUGGCUUACGUUGCUAGAGUGACAGAUUCCACACUGAACUCGAAAUCAUGCGUUCCAAAGAUAAAGAAACUGAAGCUCAGAGAAGUGAAUGACCUGCUGGAAGUCACACAGCCAGGAAGAAGGGGAGUCUGGAUCCUCUGUCCCUGGACCCUUUGGAGCAGGCUGGAGAUGUACACAUGCCAAGAAACUGUUGCCUUUACCUGCCUCGUGGGGUUCAGGCCUGAUUGAGUGGAGACCCUACUUUGAUCUCAGUGAUUCUUCAACUACUUGGCUGCAGGAGGGUUGCUUCUAAUGGCUUCCAGCUGCCCCUUCACUGCAGACGAGCCCUCAGCCAGGCGAGAGCUGUCCCCCAGGAAGUUGCCCCGCACCGCACCACCUGGGCAGAUGGCAGCCCAUGACUGGCUGAUGUAUUGCAAAAGGCCACCUCAAGCCUCAAGUUGUUUUUGGCGAAGAGGCUGGUAUGAUACAAGCUAAUCCACCGUAUCCAGAGGAAAAGCAAAGAGCAUGGACUUUGGAGCCAAAUUUCCAGGAUUCAAACCUUAACUCCAUCACUUACUUGUCCUGUGAUCAUCAACAAGAAUCGACGGAAUUUCUCUGGCUGCUAGUCGCGCUGCCUGUAUCCGAAUAAACCCAGCUCGCAGGUAUCCAGCAGGAAACGGCUCCUGGUUCGCGUGUACGCAGACGCAUCCGCCCAGCGCGGGACGCGAGGUGGCUCCUCGUGUUCAUAAGGCGGCAGAUCUGGCCUCCGAGGGAAGCUGAACUAUCAGCGCCCUCAGGCCGAGCAGCCCUGCGCUGCCCCAACAGUGCCUGACAACCCCCCGCCCACCUGUGCUGGUGCUUCGGGAACCUGCCGAGCCAAGUCCGCCCGGGGCGAAAACUGAAAGCAAAUUCCGUGGCAGAUGAAGUUCGAACUUUUUUCGACGCAAGCUUGCAGCAGAGAUUCGGUGGUAGCUUCAGGAAGAUAGCGCGCUUUGGCAGUGCGCGCGCGCGCGCACGCGAAGUAGGGCGGUGGGCGAAGAGAGCACCGGGUGGUCAAGCUUGGUCGGAGGCAGAACCCGAGGAAAGAUGCCGCCCCUUCGUUAUUACUCGCUAAUUCCUCGGUCCCUGUCUGUAAAACUAGCUUCCAAGGUGCCGCAGAUGCCCAGGGUGUGUUUGUGGUGAUCGCACCAGGGAGGAGGCGGCUUUGUAAAUGUUGCAGAAAGAGCUUUGCCCAGAAGCGUCCGCCCAGCGGGGAGUCAAGAAAGCUGGGGACCAACUCUCCUACCCCCGAGCAGAAGGAGCUCUCUGGAGAGCUCCCCUGCCCAGUCGUCUCUCCUCACCUCGAAGCUGCAUGUAAAUAACCUCCCACUGCCUGCACUGCAAACUUCCCCGCACGGUGCCGCGGUUGGCGGGAGAGGCCCGGACGCAGAGCGGGCCCGCAAGGCCGCUCGUCGGCCCGCUUAGCCCAGCCCUGAGACGGGCUUACGCGGAGGUGAGAGGAUGAGUGGUUACCGCUCCCACUGGGCUGCCCAGACCAUCACCGCCCACCUCCUGACUCCCCAGAGCGGGCGCUUCCCCUUGGGAGCGGUGGUCUUGGGGGGCUGGCCAGGGCGCAAAAUGCGCGCGCGGGACUGGGGGGCGGCCGCCGGUCUCUCCGCGGGGCCUGUCGCCGGGCCGGCCGCGGCGGGUGAGUGAUGAGGGCAGAGAAGGGCGCCCAUAAAUCGCGGGUGUCAGGGCGAAAAACUCUCUUUAUUGUCUGCGUGAUGGAUGGGCCCGGGGACGAGACACCAAAUACUUCGUAUCGCCUUUAAAUGGGAACACAUUUUCCGCGGCCAUAAUUCAUGUUUUUUAAAUAGAAAGUUUGAAAUGUUGCCUAUAUUUCACCGGCCUUGACAUAUUUAUGAAUCGCUCCCUGCAUGCAAAUAUCAUUAUUUAAAGCGCCGAGGAGAGCUCGGGGGAGGGGAGGAGGCGCGGCCCCCAGGGCGUGGGGGUGGUGAACCGGGGAAAAGGCGAAUGGAGAGGGGUGGGGGGGGGGGAGGAAGCGGGGAACCAUCGCCCUAAAGUGCGGACAAUGAGGCGCGGAGGAAAGCCGUAUCCGGAAGCCGAGCGCACCGGGGGCUCCCCUCCCGCUGCCGGACCCCUUCCAGCCGCUCGGGGAAGUUUGUGUGGCUUGGGGUCGAGGACAGGCUCCCGCUCCCUGCCGGGAGACCAGGGGGCAUUUUGCGUCCCCUCUCCGAGGCUCUGAUCCGAGCCACUUUUUCCAAGAAAGAAGUAAAAAAUAAAUAAAUAAAUAAAUAUGAAGAAUUUAACAAACGCAAAUAAUAACAAUCCAACGUGUUUCGUGUUCGUUGCCAUUGCAUCGGUUUUAUUGCUUUUCAUUCUGCAAACCUGAGACUGCGCUCCCGGGCAGGGACACUGUUAGACCCCAUUCACCUCAGGGAGUGUGUUGGGGAUAACCGUCCGGUGCCGUGGUCCCGACCCGCCCCUACCCAACUAGCUCACUACCACCCAGGCACAAAGGAGACUGCGCAAGACGCGGGGACACGAAUGAUGCAUCCCCCUCAAGGUCUGGGGGCUUCAAUCCCGCCCACUGUGCCUCUCCUGAGUACCGCAGCGCUCCUGGGGUCUGCGUCUACCCUGUCGGAGCCCUACUAUCAGUACAGUCGCUUUGGAAAAAAGCCAGAUACUAUCGAAGAACAGCAACUCUCCGAGGUGUCUUCCCACCAGAAUGUAAACCUGAUGCGUCGUGGGGCUCCAUAUGAGGAAAAUGGUUACAACGUGACAAGAAGCGAUUAGAUGUGAA